rnacentral:rRNA from 1 species
UUAAGGAAGAAGAUAAGGCCGUUACUAAGGUAAAAAGCAUCGGCUAACUCCGUGCCAGCAGCCGCGGUAAGACGGGGGAUGCAAGUGUUAUCCGGAAUCAUUGGGCGUAAAGCGUCCGCAGGUGGUUUUUUAAGUUCACUGUUAAACCGUGAGGCUCAACCUCAAAUUGGCAGUGGAAACUUCAAAACUAGAGUUUGGUAGGGGUCGAGGGAAUUUCCAGUGGAGCGGUGAAAUGCGUAGAUAUUGG